rnacentral:rRNA from 1 species
CCUACGGGAGGCAGCAGUGGGGAAUAUUGGACAAUGGGCGGAAGCCUGAUCCAGCCAUGCCGCGUGUGUGAAGAAGGCCUUUUGGUUGUAAAGCACUUUAAGCGAGGAGGAGGCUACUAGUAUUAAUACUACUGGAUAGUGGACGUUACUCGCAGAAUAAGCACCGGCUAACUCUGUGCCAGCAGCCGCGGUAAUACAGAGGGUGCGAGCGUUAAUCGGAUUUACUGGGCGUAAAGCGUGCGUAGGCGGCUGAUUAAGUCGGAUGUGAAAUCCCUGAGCUUAACUUAGGAAUUGCAUUCGAUACUGGUCAGCUAGAGUAUGGGAGAGGAUGGUAGAAUUCCAGGUGUAGCGGUGAAAUGCGUAGAGAUCUGGAGGAAUACCGAUGGCGAAGGCAGCCAUCUGGCCUAAUACUGACGCUGAGGUACGAAAGCAUGGGGAGCAAACAGGAUUAGAUACCCUGGUAGUCCAUGCCGUAAACGAUGUCUACUAGCCGUUGGGGUCUUUGAGACUUUAGUGGCGCAAGCUAAAGCGAUAAGUAGACCGCCCGNGGAGGUACGGUCGCGAAGAACGUAAAACGUUAAAAGGUAAAGUUAGUACGGACGUUGAGGAGUUGCCGACGGACGACGACGAGGGGAGGAGG